UACAAUAUGGUGUAGGGGCAUAAAAAGUUUUGAUCUUUUAGGGGAAGGUUCAAUUCCUUCUUUUGUAA
rnacentral:tRNA from 2 species